GCAGCAGUGGUUCAGUGGCAGAAUUCUCACUUUUCAUGUGGGAUGCCCAGGUUCAAUUCCCGGCCAGUGCA
rnacentral:tRNA from 1 species